GACAGAGGUGCCGAGCGUUAGGCGGAAUCACUGGGCUUAAAGCGUGUGUAGGCGGCCCGUUAAGUGUCUUGUGAAAUCCCCCGGCUCAACCGGGGAACGGCUGGGCAUACUGGCGGGCUUGGGUCGCUCAGGGGCAGACGGAACAGGCGGUGGAGCGGUGAAAUGCGUAGAUAUCGCCUGGAACGCCGAAGGUGAAAACAGUCUGCUGGGGGCGCACCGACGCUGAGACACGAAAGCCAGGGGAGCGAACGUG
rnacentral:rRNA from 1 species